UUGCAGAUCAUGGGUGAUUCGCUCGGAUGCUUUAUAACCAGGAUUGCAGUCCAUGCUCUGGAGCUACAAUUCACUGAGCGAGGGCUAGUGAUGAUCCACGGCUCUCGCUUCAAAACUGCAACAUGACAAAACAGCCCUAAAUGAUGAUCACUACAAAUCACCUUGUUAUGACAUCUCUGUGCUCUGGAGGCCGAGGAACUGGCUUUGUACUUGUGGCAAAGAUUGUGUGUGAGUAACAUCUUGUGAUUCUGAGUCAAAACCAAACACUUUUACAUCCUCCUGCACCCCCUUGCUCUGAGUGUCAGGGCUAAAGCGCUAAAAUGGAGAAAAAUGCACCUUGCCCUCAUAUUGAACGCAUAAAUCAUCAGAGCAUGGAGGCCUUGACUGCUGUUUCCUUUCCCUCUAAUGGAUCCCUCGUUCCACACCUCUUCUCCUUCAGCUGAGGAUCAGUAAGAUUCAGUCAGCUGGGUGUGAAAAACACCCUGGGAGAUGAUCAUUAUCUAGAUCAUCCUAGUUCCCAGAUGCUCUGAGUAAAUUGGUAUAUUCUGUGUUUUUAGCUCAUACAUUUACAUGCUGUCCUAAGAUGGUACAAAAUAUAUGUUAGUUUUUCUAGGGAGGAAAAAUAUUU